rnacentral:tRNA from 1 species
GGCCCCAUGGCUCAAUUUGCUAAAGCAGCUGCUUAUAAACAGGAGAUCCUGGGUUCAACUCCUAGUGGUGCCU